rnacentral:rRNA from 1 species
AUUGAACGCUUGCGGCAGGCCUAACACAUGCAAGUCGAACGAGUGGCGGACGGGUGAGUAAUGACUGGGAAACUGACUGAUGGAGGGGGAUAACUACUGGAAACGGUAGCUACUACCGCAUACCAUCGGAUGUGCCCAGCGGGGAUUAGCUAGUAUGUGGGGUAAAGGCGCACCUAGGCGACGAUCCCUAGCUGGUCGUAGAGGAUGACCAGCCAGACGGUAACUGAGACACGUUCCAGACUCCUACGGGAGGCAGCAGUGGGGAAUAUUGCACAAUGGGCGCAAGCCUGAUGCAGCCAUGCCGCGUGUGUGAAGAGGGCCUUCGGGUUGUAAAGCACUUUCAGCGAGGAUGCGUUAAUCGCAGAAGAAGCACCGGCUAACUCCGAGCCAGCAGCGGCGGUAAUAC